rnacentral:lncRNA from 1 species
CUGGGAUAAGUGAGGAGGAGUAGGCAGAGAGCUGCCCCCCCAGGCAUUAUUCAGGGCCCUGGGAUAUGGGGGACACUGGCAGGGUUGGGAUCCAGAACAACCCAGUCACCAUCAAGGGAAGGAGGUACCCACCUAACAUUGGCAGCAGCUUGCCUGUCUGCCUAGCAAGGGCAGAGCCUCUAAGGGAAGGAGCCAACUGUGUGGCCCCCAUGCCCUUUUUCUUCCUGCUGGAGGGGCCAGUGGGCAUGGGGGGCAGGCAGGGACUGCAUUGUGAGGCACUGGGGUGUGUUCAGAUGCUCUCUGUCAGCCGGGCGUGGUGGCGUAUGCCUGUAAUCCCAGCACUUGGGAGGCUGAGGCAGGAGGAUCGCUGUGAGUUCAAGACCAGCCUGGGCUACAUAGUGAGCCCCAGGUCAGUCUCAACUACAUAAUGAGACCCUGUCUCAAAAAAAAGCAGAUGCUCUCUGUCCUCUGAGCCUGAAUAUCCCCAGUGAUCUGAGGUCCCAGCUCGCGCUAGGGGCUAGCAGGCCUGGUGGUCAGUGCACUAGUCCUAUCCCCUGGCUUUCUAGCCACUGGAGGCCUCAGGGCCUGAGUUCUCAGAUGCCCACAUGACAUGGUUGAACUUUGUCCGUCGGCCAGAUGACGGGGCUUCCAAGCGACGGUGCCGAUGCCAGGAUAAGAAGCUGCGAGGUCUCUUGGGGCCCCCAGGACCCCCAGGACCCCCUGGGCCCCCAGGCCCCCCUGGUGCAGAAGUUACCCCAGAAGCCCUGCUGCAAGAGUUUCAGGAGAUGCUAAGAGAGGCCACAGAGCGAAGGUUCUCUGCACUGCUGGACACAUGGCUGCCACAGGUGAGUGGCCAGCGACUGGUGGUCGAGGCCUUCCACUGCCGGCUGAAGGCUCCUGUGCUGGUAGACCAGAGGACCCUGGUGGAGCUACGGGGCUUCCAGGCUCCUGCUGUCCAGGGUGCCUUCCUGAGGGGGUCUGGACUGAGCCUGGCCUCUGGCCGAUUCACAGCCCCUGUCUCUGCCAUCUUCCAGUUCUCUGCCAGCCUUCAUGUGGACCACAGCGCACUGCAGGGCAGGGCCCGGCUGCGAGCCCGGGACACCGUGCGUGUCCUCAUCUGCAUAGAGUCCUUGUGCCAUCGCCACAUGUCCCUGGAGGCCAUCUCAGGCCUGGAGAGUAACAGCAGGGUCUUCACGGCACAGGUGCAAGGGCUGCUGCAGCUGCAGGCUGGACAGUACGCCUCUGUGUUUGUGGACAAUGGCUCUGGGGUGGCCCUCACCAUCCAGGGUGGUUCCAUCUUCUCUGGGUUGCUCCUGGGCACGUGAUGGCACCAUAGAGGAACCACCAGCCACCUCAGGGAGGAGGUGAAGAGGAUCCCCAAUAAUAAUACAGAGCUUGCAAUAAUAAAGAGCCCCCAGCCCUCCCUGUUGCCCAUGGAUGCUGCCUGGUUAUUGCAUUGGUGGAGGUGGGGGCUGGGCAGCUG